UACGUAGGGAGCAAGCGUUGUCCGGAAUCAUUGGGCGUAAAGCGCGCGUAGGUGGCCUCAUAAGUCCGCUGUGAAAGUCAAAGGCUCAACCUUUGAAAGCCGGUGGAUACUGUGGGGCUAGAGUACGGAAGAGGCGAGUGGAAUUCCUGGUGUAGCGGUGAAAUGCGCAGAUAUCAGGAGGAACACCGGUGGCGAAGGCGGGUCUCUGGGCCGAUAUUGACGCUGAGGAGCGAAAGCGUGGGGAGCGAACAGG
rnacentral:rRNA from 1 species